GGGAUCCCCGGACGGCUGCGAGGAAUGAGCGGUUGGCUCGGGCUGGUUUCCUCCCUCCACCGCCUGCUUGUUUCGCCAUGCCCGGGCCGGACGGUGGGGCUGCAGCGGCGAAAGCGACUGAAGUCCGGGAGCAGUCGCAUGAGCUUCCCGGUCACCAGGAGGCCCCGGGAACAGACACCUCACCCUGACAUUGUGGCAGGUUUGGCCCUUCCCGCAAUGCAACAAAGGAGGGACUUUGUCCCAGCCUUUCCCCUAGCCAGGAGAGGUGCUGUUAAAUCCCUUUGUGCCUCCCCACCGGCCUUGGAGAGAUGAGAUUUCCCCUGUAGUACCCCAGGGGACGGGCCGACGGGAUGGACUUUGU
rnacentral:lncRNA from 1 species